AACGAACGCUGGCGGCAGGCCUAACACAUGCAAGUCGAGCGGGCGUAGCAAUACGUCAGCGGCAGACGGGUGAGUAACACGUGGGAACGUGCCCUUCAGUUCGGAACAACCCAGGGAAACUUGGGCUGAUACCGGAUACGCCCCGGACUUGAUCCGGGGGAAAGAUUUAUCGCUGAAGGAUCGUCCCGCGUCUGAUUAGCUGGUUGGUGAGGUAAUGGCUCACCAAGGCGACGAUCAGUAGCUGGUCUGAGAGGAUGAUCAGCCACACUGGGACUGAGACACGGCCCAGACUCCUACGGGAGGCAGCAGUGGGGAAUAUUGGACAAUGGGCGCAAGCCUGAUCCAGCCAUGCCGCGUGAGUGAUGAAGGCCCUAGGGUUGUAAAGCUCUUUCGGCGGGGAAGAUAAUGACGGUACCCGCAGAAGAAGCCCCGGCUAACUUCGUGCCAGCCGCCGCAGUAACAC
rnacentral:rRNA from 1 species